ACCACAAUAAAGAAUAAAAGCGUUUUUGGUCAUUUUAGGUAUCGUUAAGCCUAUGAAGUAAAAUUAAAAUUGCAAGAAAUGUCGAUAGUUUAUCGAUAUGACUUUAUCGACAUGGCUACAGCAAGGUGGGCCUCAUUGUUAAUCGUACACUAAACAAAAGUGGCAACAGUGACAGCUCGCUGAGACACCGUCUCUAUAUAUUAUGUCUAUGGUAAGUACCAAUAAACAAACAACAAGUAGUGAAAAUACAAACUAAGUUAAAGAAAAAUACUGAUUUGCUGUGAAAACUGAAGGAAAUUCCACCCAAAAUUUGAUGCUUCGUCGCAAAAGAAAAUGCUAGCGAAAUAUAUCACUCAGCAUCCCCUGUCCGUCUACAGGGAGAUCCAUGAGCCUCUCGGAAUCCAGAGAUACAAAAUGCAAUGCUGCACAGUGCACGCAAGUUCUAAGAGAGCAUGCAUAAUCAUGCUCGUAGGUACAGAUCAGUGCAGGGAUGGAAGUUAACUUAUCGUGACUCGAGCUGCAAAGUAAGAAAAUCAAUGUGGCACCAAACCAGGCUCGGCCAGUGAAGGAAAAUGGAUCCAGAAGAAUUAAGGAUUUAAGAUUCAUAACAUAUUGGAGGCUUGAAAGUGCACAUACCCAUACAUUGGACGUUAAGCUCAACGAGACCAUGCGUCGCAUCUCAGGCACUAUCCGAUCUGCAGCCGCCACGUGCUGCUGUCAUUGAGUCACAUUGCCCCUUCUCACAUCCGACGACUCCAGGCGUUGAAGAGGGAGGCUGAGAAGAUCACGAAUAACCCCCGCAAUGCCUGUCCACGAAGAAUUCUGCCGCCCAACCCCUCGGCAUCUGAAAUCCCGGAAUCCUGGGAGCCUGAGCAGCUUUAAUAUUUCGGAUAGGUAGAAAGCGGAAUGGUCUGCUAUAUCUGACCUGACUGAAAAACCAAAAGGUUUCACCUUCCUCGGAAAAUCUGGUGCCGCCUGAACGGGCUGAGAACCGGACAUGGCCGCUGCAAUUCAGCCACACACAAAUGGAGAUAGACGGCUUUCCCACUUUGCGAAUGCGGAGAGGAAAAGCAGACCACUUAGCAUAUGUUCCAACGCUGCCCACUCCACUCAUACCCUGCUGAGGACCUGAAGACCGUGACACCUGACUUUGGUUGCUUGACUUGGCAACCUCAAGGCUACACUCUGAAUCUCCUCUCUUUAUAUAAUUGCUAUAUGGUUAAAUAAAUAAAUAAAUAAUAUAUAGCUAUCGAACGAGAAGGCUUAUGGCUUCAGCCAAGAAAAGUUCUCACAUUCCGGCUGGGACACACCUCUCAGCAACUGGCAUGUCCAUGCAUUUCGAAUACCAAGUCAAUAGUCAAAGUUUUUAUUUGUUAAACAUUAUGCAGGUAAAACUAUUACAGUGGUGUAUAAAAGGUUUUUUACAAACUUUAAAGUUGCAAUGUAUGUAUCAAGUCCUGCAAGACAAAUUAGACCCCACUUCCGUUUAUUCGAAGGAUUACCCUUCGAUUUAUACCCUUUUUUACACAAAUAAAAAUAAACUAUUCUAUUCUAUUACUGACUUGAAUUAGAAUCAUUUGUCUUUAUCUGGCAUUUUGACUUACAUGUAUUUCUAAGAACGGGAUAAAACAUAAUUUAACUAAAUCGGGCCUGUAAAGUUUUAUGAAUAACUCGGGGUUUUAUGAAUAACGGGGUGUCUUUUUAUAGUUUAUUCCGCAAUCAUUAGUUUUUCUUAUUUAUAAACUAAAACUACCUAAAAAGUGAAAAACCUACAAAUAAAAAAUCGGCCCCAAGUCUGUCCCCUCUGUGUAGGGUGCCCAGAAGGCUGGCGGCGUUACCGCGCUGAACGGCAACGCCAAUGCGUUGGGCGAGGUAAGCUCCACCCUUCCGGUCACCCGUUGCAUCUAUUAAGGUGCAUUAGGCGCUUGGCUAACUCUUUAUAAACGCUGUGCGCGCCUUGACCCCACGGCCCAAGCGUCUCCAAACCAAACGGCUCAAGGUUUAGGUGGUUUUAGUUUAGUAUGUUUAGUUAUUAGUUUAAUUUCUUUAUUAAUAUUAUAAUUAUAUAUUAGUUUUUAAUUAGUUUUAUGUUUAGAUUAUGUGUUAUUCUAUCUGUUUAUAAACUGAAAUAGAUGUCAUACACUAAAGAUAAAGUGAUCAAGUCCCACCGGUGGCGGCACGCAGAUAGUCAAAAAUUCUUUAAUGUUAUCGUUAUCGUUGAAAGGCUAACCUUUGCCUUUGACCGACUCUAAGGGCGAGCAGUACUUUUUUUUACCUAACUGCGUCAGGAGGGUAAUGUUAAAUAGGCUAUAUACAUUUUGAAAAUGACGCCUCAAAUUGAAAAAAUAGGGGGAAGGGUGGGGUCUUACCCUUACCAUAGUAAUAUGGAUUUAAAAUGAAAGCUAGCGAGAAGACCAUUCCAAAAAUAUAUAAAAAUAUUUUGGCAAUAGUUGUUUUAUUUACCCAUUUA